rnacentral:rRNA from 1 species
GACGAACGCUGGCGGCGUGCUUAACACAUGCAAGUCGAACGGAAAGGCCCUGCUUUUGUGGGGUGCUCGAGUGGCGAACGGGUGAGUAACACGUGAGUAACCUGCCCUUGACUUUGGGAUAACUUCAGGAAACUGGGGCUAAUACCGGAUAGGAGCUCCUGCUGCAUGGUGGGGGUUGGAAAGUUUCGGCGGUUGGGGAUGGACUCGCGGCUUAUCAGCUUGUUGGUGGGGUAGUGGCUUACCAAGGCUUUGACGGGUAGCCGGCCUGAGAGGGUGACCGGCCACAUUGGGACUGAGAUACGGCCCAGACUCCUACGGGAGGCAGCAGUGGGGAAUAUUGCACAAUGGGCGGAAGCCUGAUGCAGCAACGCCGCGUGCGGGAUGACGGCCUUCGGGUUGUAAACCGCUUUCGCCUGUGACGAAGCGUGAGUGACGGUAAUGGGUAAAGAAGCACCGGCUAACUACGUGCCAGCAGCCGCGGUGAUACGUAGGGUGCGAGCGUUGUCCGGAUUUAUUGGGCGUAAAGGGCUCGUAGGUGGUUGAUCGCGUCGGAAGUGUAAUCUUGGGGCUUAACCCUGAGCGUGCCUUCGAUACGGGUUGACUUGAGGAAGGUAGGGGAGAAUGGAAUUCCUGGUGGAGCGGAGGAAUGCGCAGAUAUCAGGAGGAACACCAGUGGCGAAGGCGGUUCUCUGGGCCUUUCCUGACGCUGAGGAGCGAAAGCGUGGGGAGCGAACAGGCUUAGAUACCCUGGUAGUCCACGCUGUAAACGGUGGGUACUAGGUGUGGGGUCCAUUCCACGGGUUCCGUGCCGUAGCUAACGCUUUAAGUACCCCGCCUGGGGAGUACGGCCGCAAGGCUAAAACUCAAAGGAAUUGACGGGGCCCCGCACAAGCGGCGGAGCAUGCGGAUUAAUUCGAUGCAACGCGUAGAACCUUACCUGGGUUUGACAUGGAUCGGGAGUGCUCAGAGAUGGGUGUGCCUCUUUUGGGGUCGGUUCACAGGUGGUGCAUGCCUGUCGUCAGCUCGUGUCGUGAGAUGUUGGGUUAAGUCCCGCAACGAGCGCAACCCUUGUUCACUGUUGCCAGCACGUUAUGGUGGGGACUCAGUGGAGACCGCCGGGGUCAACUCGGAGGAAGGUGGGGAUGACGUCAAGUCCUCAUGCCCCUUAUGUCCAGGGCUUCACGCAUGCUACAAUGGCUGGUACAGAGAGUGGCGAGCCUGUGAGGGUGAGCGAAUCUCGGAAAGCCGGUCUCAGUUCGGAUUGGGGUCUGCAACUCGACCUCAUGAAGUCGGAGUCGCUAGUAAUCGCAGAUCAGCAACGCUGCGGUGAAUACGUUCCCGGGGCU